AGUGAACGCUGGCGGUAGGCCUAACACAUGCAAGUCGAACGGCAGCACAGUAAGAGCUUGCUCUUACGGGUGGCGAGUGGCGGACGGGUGAGGAAUACAUCGGAAUCUACUUUUUCGUGGGGGAUAACGUAGGGAAACUUACGCUAAUACCGCAUACGACCUACGGGUGAAAGCAGGGGAUCUUCGGACCUUUCGCGAUUGAAUGAGCCGAUGUCGGAUUAGCUAGUUGGCGGGGUAAAGGCCCACCAAGGCGACGAUCCGUAGCUGGUCUGAGAGGAUGAUCAGCCACACUGGAACUGAGACACGGUCCAGACUCCUACGGGAGGCAGCAGUGGGGAAUAUUGGACAAUGGGCGCAAGCCUGAUCCAGCCAUACCGCGUGGGUGAAGAAGGCCUUCGGGUUGUAAAGCCCUUUUGUUGGGAAAGAAAAGCAGCAGGUUAAUACCCCGUUGUUCUGACGGUACCCAAAGAAUAAGCACCGGCUAACUUCGUG
rnacentral:rRNA from 1 species